rnacentral:lncRNA from 1 species
AUGUUCAAAAGGCAUGAGAAGGAAAAGAAAGAGGUCAAAACACGAAAAGAUCCGACUAUUAUCCCUAAAAAAAUGGUAAUUCGUACAUCAAAAUCAUGAGAGGUAAAUAAACCCAAGACUAUAAUACCGGAGUGAUGAAUUCUGUAGUUUUGGAAUGAAUCCCAUGAGAUUCAUAAGCGAAUUGUGGGUGAGAUUCUUCUGCAGGUGUAGGAUCAGGGUGAUUAUACAAGCAGUUGUUUUCAUACUUGCAAGUGCCAGUUCGCAUAUAGUGCAAACAAUCUUUCUUCCCCUGUAAUACGUUAAAAUAAUUAUUCAGCGAACAUAUGGACAAUUGAUAGUAGCUCCAACAGACUAAGAAAAUAGCAAAGACAAAAUCUCAAAUCUUAAGCACCAUGAAUAGAUAGAUUUUCAUUCCUCAUAUUUUUGCAGAUCAAACCGAGAGUUUAUACCGGACGAAUUGGCAGGCCCAAAAAGUUAAGUUUCAGAGCUGGAGCUACAGAGGGUUCCCUUUUACGUUGUCCUGGGCAAUACUGCAACAAGCUCAAGUGUUAUAUUAACAUCAGGAAACUGUUACUAUGCCGCCAUGCACAUUGCACAGAUUUGAAAAUUAAUUGUAAUCCUGUGUAAAAAGGAAUAUGUGAUUGUAAUGUAACACCAUACAAAUGUCAUGAAAACACUUCGACUAUAAGUUGAUCACGUUCAAGACCCUCAUCGUUCUAUUGUUAGCUACAAGAUAAAAGGUUUAAGAUAACCACGUCGCCUAUGAGUUGAUCACGUUCAGUUAUGCAUGCUAACCUACUAGCUUUCAGAUAACCAUAUGAGAAGCCCCAUGGGCACUCAAAACAGAAAAAAAAAGGUCGUACCCAGUGCACAAGGCUCCCGCUUUACGCAGGGUCUGGGAGAGGUGAAUGUCGGCUAGCCUUACCCCCAUUUAUGGAGAGGCUGCUCCCAAGUCUCGAACCCGAGACCUACCGCAACAAGCUCAAAACAGAAAGAGUUAAGAUAUUACGUGAAACCAAAUAUGCAAAGUAAAAGAAAACUUUAGGAUGUAAAGCAUGAAAACCAAGCAAUUGAAGUAAAAACCAGAACUUCGGAUAGACAAUAAUCUUGCUUCCGGUCUGGUCUUGCUUCUCUGUCAACUCUUCACUCUGCUUUGCCUUGUCCAUAGACAUCUUCUAAACAAUAUGAUAAAGUUGAAAACACCAAGAAACACAAAGUGAGCACCAACAACACAAAUAUUUCAUCCAGUCAUACAAGGCCAGAUGCAUUAAUGUUUCAAACACUAAAUGCAGGUCCAAAGUCGCCAUUUUUCAGUUAAUCCGAAGUACCAAUUUUCAUGUACAAAUUUCACCACAAAGAUGCAUGUGAAAGAAAAACAUCAUCUCUAACAAAUAUGACAAGUGCUUCAUUUCAAGUCAAUUCCACUGACAAAGAUCAUCAUCACGGCAUAAUAAACUAACCGAUUAACACAUUCUUUACACCAUAACACAUGCAUACAUGCAUUUUUCAGCUAAAGCAUGAAACAAAGAGAGCUAAACACGAAAAGUCUAAAUCUUUCAAACCAUAAACAUACAUAUGCAAAUGCUAAAUACAAAAAGUUAAUAUACUACUUGAAACCAAAUAUGCAAAGUAAAACAAACUUAAUGAUGUAAACAUGAAAACCAAGCAAUUGCAGUAAAAUGUUCAAAACCAGAACUUCGGAUAGAUAAUAACCUUGUUUCUGGUCUGGCCUUGCUUCUCUGCCAACUCUCCCCUCUGCUUUGCAUUGUCCUUAAACACCUUCUAAACAAUAUGAUAAAGUUGAAAACACCAAGAAACACAAAGUGAGCACCAACAACACAAAUAUUUCAUCCAGUCAUACAAGGCCAGAUGCAUUAAUGUUUCAAACAUUAAAUGCAGGUCCAAAGUUGCAAUUUUCAGUUAACCGAAGUACCAAUUUUCACGUACAAAUUUCACCACAAAGAUGCAUGUGAAAGAAAAAUACCAUCUCUAACAAAUAUGACAAGUGCUUCAUUUCGAGUCAAUUCCACUGACAAAGAUCAUCAUCACGGCAUAAUAAACUAACCGAUUAACACAUUCUUUACACUAUAACACAUGGAUACAUGCAUUUUUCAGCUAAAGCAUGAAACAAAGAGAGCUAAACACAAAAAGUCUCAAUCUUUCAACCAUAAACAUACAUAUGCAAAUGCUAAAUACAAAAAGUUAAGAUACUACUUGACACCAAAUAUGCAAAGUAAAACAAACUUAAUGAUGUAAACAUGAAAACCAAGCAAUUGCAGUAAAAAGUUCAAAACCAGAACUUCGGAUAGAUAAUAACCUUGUUUUUGGUCUGGCCUUGCUUCUCUGCCAACUCUCCCCUCUGCCUUGGCUUGUCCUUAAACACCUUCUAAACAAUAUGAUAAAGUUGAAAACACCAAGAAACACAAAGUGAGCACCAACAACACAAAUAUUUCCUGCAAUCAUACAAGGCCAGAUGCAUUAAUUUCACAAAUGCUAAAUGCAGGCCCAAAGUCCCCAAUUUUUUUUUUGUUAAUCCAAAGUCCCAAAUUUUCAAGUACAAAUUUCACCACAAAGAUGCAUAUGAAAUUAUGAAUGAAAGCAUCAUCUCUAACAAAUAUGACAUGAGCCUCCAUUUCAAGUCAAUUCUGCUGACAAAGAUCAUGAUUGCAGCUUAAUAAACUAACCGGUUAUAACAUUCUUUACACCAUAAUACAUGGAUACAUGCAUUUCUCAGUUGAAACAAUGAGAGCUGAAGUCGGGAAAACAAGAAAAGUCUCAAUCUUUCAACAAUAAACAUACAUAAUGCUAAAUACAAAAAGUUAAGAUACUAUUUGAAAUCAUAUAUGCAAAGUAAAACAAACUUAAUGAUGGAAAACAUUAAAAGCAGUUGCAUUGAAAACCAGAACUAUGGAUAGAUAAUAACCUUGCUUUCGGUCUGGUCUUGCUUCACUGCCAACUCUUCCCUCCGCUUUGCCUUGUCCUUAGACACAUUCUUCUAAUAAAUUUGAUAAAAGUUCAAAACACCAAGAAACACAAAGUGAGCAUCAAGAACACAAAUAAUUCCUGCAAUCAUACAAGGCCGGAUGCAUUAAUGUCUCAAACACUAAAUGCAAGCUCAAAGUCUCAAUUUUUUUUGUUAAUAAAAAAUCCCAAUUUUUUCACGUACAAACUUCACCAUGAAGACGCAUGUGAAAGAGAAAUAUCAUCUCCAAAAAAUAUUAUAUGCACCUCCUUUUGAGUCAAUUCUGCUGGAAAAAUCAUCAUCGCGGCAUAAUAAACGAACCGAUUAACACAUUCUUUACACUAUAACACAUGCACACAUGCAUUUCUCAGCUGAAACAAUGAAAGCUGAGGCCGGGAAAACAUGGAAAGUCUCAAUCUUUCAACCAUAAACAUACAUAUGCAAAUGCUAAAUACAAAAUGUUAAGAUAGUAGUACAUGACACCAAAUAUGCAAAGUAAAACAAUCUUAAUGAUGUAAAGCAGGAAAACCAAGUAGUUGCAGCAAAAAGUUAAAAACCAGAACUUCGGAUUGAUAUUAACCUUGCUUUCGGUCUGGACUUGCUUCUCUGCCAACUCUUCGCGUUGCUUUGCCUUGUCCUUAGACACCAUCUUCUAAUAAAUAUGAUAAAGUUGAAAAGACCAAGAAACACAAAGUGAGCACACAAAAAAAAAAAACAAAUAUUUCCUGCGAUCAUACAAGGCCAUAUGCAUUAAUGUCUCAAACACUAAAUGCAUGCCCAAAGUCCCCAUUUUUUUUGUUAAUUCAAAGUCCCCAUUUUUCACGUACAAAUUUCAGAACAAAUAUGCACGUGAAAGAAAACAUCACCUCUAACAAAUAUGAUAUGUGCCUACAUUUCAAGUCAAUUCUGCUAACAAAGAUCAUCAUCGCGGCAUAAUAAACUAGUUGACUAUAACACAUGCACACAUGCAUUUCUCAGCUGAAACAAUGAAAGCUGAGGCCGGGAAAACAUGGAAAGUCUCAAUCUUUCAACCAUAAACAUACAUAUGCAAAUGCUAAAUACAAAAAGUUAAGAUACUACUUGAAACCAAAUAUGCAAAGUAAAAGCAAACAUAAUGAUGUAAAACAUGAAAACCAAGCAAUUUGUUGUAAAAUCAUAACCUUGGAUAGAUAAUAACCUUGUUUUCGGUCUGGUCUUGCUUUUCUGCCAACUCUUCCCUCCGCUUUGCCUUGUCCUUAGACACCUUCAACACAAAAUGAUCACCAACAAAUAUUUCCUGCUAUCAUACAAGGCCAGAUGCAUUAAUGUCUCAAACACUAAAUGCUGGCCCAAAGUCCCAAUUCUUUUUGUUAAUCCAAAGUCCUGAUGUUUCACGGACAAAUAUCACCACAAAGAUUCAUGUGAAAGAAAAACUUCAUCUCUAACAAUUCUGAUAAAUGCCUCCAUUUCGAGUCAACGGCAGCAUAAUAAACUAACCAAUUAACAUAUAAUUUACACUAUAACAUAUGCAUGCAUGCAUUUCUCAGCUGAAACAAUGAGAUCUGAGGCCUAGAAAACAUGAAAUGUCUGUCUUUCAACCAUGAACACACAUGCAAAUGCUAUAUACAAAAAGUUAAGAUACUACUUGAAACCAAAUAUGCAAAGCAAAACAAACUUAAUGAUGUAAAACAUGAAAACCAAGCACUUGCUGUAAACACCAGAACUUCAGAAUUCGGAUAGAUAAUAACCCUGCUUUCACUCUGGUCUUGCUUCUCUGUCAACUCUUCCCCCUGCAUUGCCUUGUCCUUGGACACCAUCAUCUAAUAAAUAUGAUAUAGUUCAAAACACAAGGUGAGCACCAACAACACAAAUACUUAAUGCAAUCAUACAAGGCCAGAUGCAUUAAUGUCUCAAACACUAAAUGCAGGCCCAAAGUCCCCAUUUUUCACGUACAAAUUUCACUACAAAGAUGCAUGUGAAAGAAAAUCUUCAUCUUUAACAAAUAUGAUAUGUGUCUUUAUUUCGAGUCAAUCCCGCUGACAAUGAGAGGUGAGGCCGGAAAACACGAAAAGCCUCAAUCUUUCAACCCUAAACAUACAUAUGCAAUUGCUAAAUGCGAAAGACGAGUGACAUACCUGCUUGUUUUCUCUUCUCCGAGGGUGAUUCCUUGUGCUACUCUCCUCAACAACCUCCUUCACCACCUCACCACCGUUCUCAUUCCCUCCUCCUCCGCUGCCGCUUUCACUCUUUUCGCUCUCUCUCUCCUUCUCAGUUUCCUCUUGAGUCUCUCUCUCCUUCCCUUUUUCUUUUUCCUCCUUUUCCUUCAAACUCAAUUCUUGAAUCUUCCGAAUCUCAUCGAGGAAGGCAGGGUCGAGAUUCGAUCACGGCGGGGUCGAGUGUCCGAAUCAAUUCAAGGAUUUCAGGAUCCAGAUCGGACGGCGCAUGAGACGGAAUAGACGGUGGAUGACCACUUUGAUCAUCGAUGGGAUUUAGGCGAAAGGCGACGCCUUGAGGGAGUUCCGGUUGCCGUCCGGAUCGAAAGUACCUAUAAAUUUCGACCAACACUGUAAAUGACACCGGUAGCAGAACACGCGCCGUUGGCAACAUUGGUAGUUUUUGCGCUGGCGGGGACGGCGGCUGAAACUGGGUUGCUGGGUUUGCUGUGAACUUGCAACUAGCAGCUACAUUAUCAUUACGGAUUAAAUUGAGUUUUAGUUUGUUGAUUAAUUGUAGAAACUGGGUUUUGACUGGUUAAAUCAAAGUCGUCGGCUUUUUCUGGCAGAGGCAUGUUCAUUGCUUUGGAUUUUUUCUUUUGGAAAAGUGGAAAUUGCUGCUUUUGCUUUAAAAGUGGAUAAUCAUGUUGAUUAUCCUAGGUUUUUAUUUUGAGGCAAAGGUUAACUUAUAUACCUCGUUGACUUAUAUGACCUGAGUACAUUGUCAACUUCACAGGUCCCCUCCGGUACCUACAAACAUGUUAGUUUGUAAUAUGGGUUCGUCUUUUUUAUUGGUGUUUUCUGUGCAAGUUUAAUCAAUGUUACAUGCAACAGACAACGCAAAUGCCGCAACAAGUUCGAUACACCAACAACCAAGCCAUUCGAAGUUGGUCGGGGAAUAGGCAACGACGACGAAAUUGAAAGGAUAUUUCCCGACUAAACUUGUAUUUUCCGGUAAAGUGACAUGGAUAAGAAAUCAUUUACACGUUUUAUUCACAACUAAAAAGUUUGUGUCAUCCGCGUGAAAGGGUUUGAUACAUUUCUAAGAUUAAAUUUACCAAAAGAGAGAUUGCACAUGUCCUUGGUGAUGCGAAUCCUGUGCUCUAGGCAAGCAUUCAUGCAUAACUUAUUGCACGGGCUGCAGCUGACUUGUACCAUCAGUUCCAACUUCUGCUCCCAGCUAUUCCCGCCCCAUUAGUAGUCGCCCAGUCACCGAAAGGAAGUUGAUGAUCAGUACCAGAUGUAGUUGAAGAUGAUAUAUGUGACGGGUGGUCAAAUUGACGGAUGGUGAUAUUUGCAAUUAGAUUUAAACUUGCAAUCUCCCGUUCUUGAGAAAUAACUGCAAUCAGGUUGGCCGGGUCUUGCUGGGAACUCUUCAACUUGAUUCUGGUGUGGAUAUUGUUUGUAGACGUUGGUCUCAGUCACUGAGUUGUUCAUCAUAUAUGGUGGACGUGCAGGCAUGCUUCUUUCUGGUAUAUAUGCUGGAGCCUGAAGGUGCAAACAGAAAAACAAUUGGCAUUAAUAUUAGGGAUAUCGGAAACUAAUACGGAUGCCAAUUAACAAGUUUUGUACGCAGGAAUAUCAACUAAACAAAUUACUACAACUAUUGCAGACAGCAAUUUGUCAAACUAUUUGGAACUUUAAGUCCUGGUUAUAGGAUAGAAUUCAUAGCAUCUGUGCAUGAGCAAAUUAUUAGAUUUAUGAGCCAAAAACGAAUAAAAAGCAUGGCCGAAAAGUAUAAGAAAAUUAAACAUACAAAAAAUCUUGAUCUCUUAUCCCUCAUAAACUGUUAACUAGUAUACCAAAGUGAUCACAGUUAUUCAAACACGAGACUAUAAAAAGGGAGUGUUAAGUAAAAGUACCCGAUAACCAUUCCAUUCUGAAUUUUGAGAAGAAACCCCUUGAGGUGGUGGAAUCAUCAUUGGCGUGUAAACUGGAGCCUCAUUCAAUGGCCGUGGUGCCACUUUUGAUUGUGAUGCAACUUGUAACGAUGCAGGACCAUCAUUGCCAAAUCCAGAUGGGGGAUCAGAUCCUCCUGUAACAGGCUCAAGUGUUAUAACAUCAUGAAACUGUGACUAGUCCACCGGGGUACACAUUGCAGAUAUUUGAAUACAAGUCACAAAGGAAAGAACUAUUACUGACAUCUGAAAGCAUAAUUGUAAUUACUGUAUAAAAGGAAUAAGAGAAGGUCGUGAAAAAAACAUACAAUUUCAUGAAAACCCAUCCAGUGAAUGUUUGCUUACUAGCUAUGAACUUGCUAUAAUUUGAUCAAAACAGAUGACACGCCUCCCCAUACGAUAUAGGCGCAUAAAGUUCAAGAUUUCAGGACUCUGUGUUAACUACAAGAUGAAAGAUUUUAGCUUAUUUAUUCGGUUAUGCAAGCCAACAUAAUUUUCAGAUAAGCCGACUCCGAAAACCCCAUCAUCAUAACAAUUACCACUAUGAUAACAAAUACAUGAACUAAAACAUAAUAUACUGAUCUGUGGCAUGUUGAUCAAACAAUAUCAGUAAAAACCAUGGCUUCAAAUACAAAAUUGCUGAGAAUUACAACAAUAAUAACCUUGCAUUCCGUCUGGCUUGGAUUCUCUGCCGACUCAUCCUUAUCCUUUACCCUUUCCCUAGGCACCUUCAAUAUGAACAAAUCAAAACACCGGUAAACCGAAAGUGAGAACUGUUAACUACGUUGAAAUAUUUGAGAAUCGAAGAGAAAAUGGAGAAGAAAGAGUAACUGAGAAAGAUGAACUAGAGAGAAAUAUGAGGCUUGUAUUAACUGAAAAAGAAAGAUUACACAAUUCUGUAAGAGAAAGUCUAACUACUCUAACCAAAUACUAACAAACUGACUAACUAUAUCGCUAACUUGUACAAUCAUUUUAACUAAUCAUCUAACUAAUGGUGUGGAACUCUUAAUACUCCCCCUAAAUCUCAACUGGGGAAACUCAGUUUGAGAUUGGAAGAAUAUCUUCAAUAACUACUAUGAAGCUAAACUAUGCAGAAACCCAACCUCUGUCUCUAGUUGAUCUUUGAAGCACAAAACAUUUAAGUCUAUAGUCUAUGCCAAUCCAACCUACUAAUCAUCACAGCAGCUUUAGUCUUUAGAAAUCUAGGAGAUGAGGAAGAUGCUCAUAAGCAAGAAACUUGAACAGAUCUCUGUUAUACCACCAUGGGUAUACAUAUGCAACAUAUGGCACAUAUUCUCCGGCAAGUUCCCUGUUCCAACCAUGGGAAAUAAUGGUAUCUUAUAUGGACCUCAGCAGUACAAAUACCCUCUUUAUUUCCAGCCUCUGAAUCUAACCAAUGGACUUGUAUUCCUCUGCCUCUAACCAGAGCUGCACAAAGAAUCACAUGAAGUGCCGAUAAACUUUCAGAUAGAGUAGACGAGGAACGUGAAGAUUUUCAAAACCAAUAUGAUCCCUUCUAACCACACACUUCAUAACAGCAUAUACCCUUCUUUACCAGCAACAAACCAAGCAAUGCCUAAGAUGGAUAUUCCUCUCCAUAACUAAUGGUGUGGGACCAAGUGACUAAUUGUAUUUCUGCCGCCCAAUAUUUCUCUGCCUCUCACAGGAGUUUCAAUCAAAGAACAACCUUCUAUAAAGGAGUCGUAACACACCCUCAUACCUGUUAUAACAAUUUCUUACGGGAUUACCCUUCAUGGGAUUUACCGUACACAAUCUCAUUCAAUAUUGGCUUCGGCCUUUAAUAUUGACAAAAACAGAAAAUUAACAAACUAUAGUGUGGCAUCGGCCUUAACUAUAGUACCACGGGAUCGCCCUUUGUGGAUUUUACCAUAAACAACUUCUCUUAACAAUGGCAUCAGCCUUCACAAUUUCAACAACAGAAAAUGAACAUCUAUGUAGGAUUACCCUUCGUAGGAUUUACCUACUCAUAACACGGGAUUACCUUUGUGGGAUUUACUAUCAACAACUUCUUCAAACUUCAUCUUUUUCUAAGACACAUAUAACCGGACUUACAGUAGAUACAUGCUAACAACUAAGCUGGUUAGACUUGACAAUACAGGAUGUGAUAAGGAAUAUACCGCACAACUCCUCAGUUAGCUCUUGAACAAUCUUCUCAGACAGUACACUUCUCAUGUUGGCACAAACCAUAAUCUGAAUAACUAUAAACUUGUAUAUGCUAGAAUGCAAGAAUGCACACCCAUUUCUCCAAACAUAUCAAGAGUUGCAGAAAAAUAAAACCCAACAAAAGAAACAGAGUAGAAUUUCAAAGAAGUACAGAGACAAGAAUCAAAACCCAUCUUCAAAACCAUCAAAACCCAUCCUUAAGAUCGCACCCUUCAUCCACAUUUCACUACAAUUCACCUUGUUGCAUACGCAAAGAAAACUCCAACUGAUAGUGCCAUUUUACAUAAUCCAACAAAAUUCUUGAAAUUAGGAGCACAACAGAAACACAAAAAGAAUACCCAAAUCUUGAACAAAUAUACUUCCAAAAGACAACACAAGUCACAACCAAGUAGUAGAACCAUAAUUCUUAACCAGCACCAAAAAACUUGAAAAACCCAGAAAAGAUCCAUUCUAAUUGUUCAAGAAUGCAGAGAAAAGGGACUUAAAACAUAACCUUCACAAAAAAUCUUGAGUUGUGCAUUUCGUCAAACAUGUGGACUACACAAAGUUUUGAGCUUUCCUCCAUAGCAAAGAACAGAGCACGGAUCAAAGCCACAGAAAAUAUUAUUCAGAGAGCUGACUUGUACAAUCAUUUUAACUAACUAUAUUACUAGCAAACUUACUAACUAUAUUACUGACUUGUACAAUCAUUUUAACUAAUCAUCUAACUAAUGGUUUGGAACUCUUAAUAAGAACCAAUAGCAGAAAUGUUCUAAUCAUACAGUCUAAGCCACUCGGAGUUCGUCAUCAUUCUUUAACGCAAAAUCUCAUUGAAAAUGUAUGUAAACGAAAAGAACACCAUUUUCAGCUACAACCCUACAAAUGCAAACACAUAUAUGGCUUUGCUGCAUUGCUGCAGAAUUUCAGCUGAAACUAACAGAGGAUGGGCAAAUAUAAACUAAAAAUCCAAUCUUUCAACUGAAUAAUCGAAAUAAAAGAGGUAUACCUGGUUGGUUUUCCUUCUAACAAGGUGAUUAAACUUGCAAUUGGAUCCAAACUUGCAAUCAUCGAGUUUGUUCUCAACAAAACCAUUAGAUGUAACCACUUGAUCAAACUUUAAGUACCAUUGUUUGGAAGCUUACUUGAGACCAUAGAUUGAUUUCUUUAAUUUACAGACCAUAUUCUCCUUCCCCUUUCAAUAAAUCCAGGGGGUUGUACCAUGUAAAUGUCUUCUUGAAGAUCACCAUUAAGGAAGGUUGUUUCUACAUCCAUCCGAUGUAACUCAAGAUCAAAGUGGGCAGUGAUUGCCAUAAUAAUUCGCAUUGAAUCUUUGGAAGACACUGGUGAAAAGGUAUCAUUAUAGUCAAUACCUUCUCUCUGAGUAAACCCUUUAGCAACCAACCGAGCUUUAUACCUCUCAAUUUGUCCUUGUGCAUCCCUCUUAGUCUUAUACACCCAUUUACACCCUACAGGCUAGUCCUUGGCUCCACUAACAACCAAACAUGAUUCUUGUACAUUGAGUCCAACUUCUCCUUCAUUGCAUUGUUCCACAAACUUGACUGUGAACUCCUUAUGGCCUAUGAAUAAGUUGUUAGAUCAUCAAUGUCUCCAAUAUUAUAGUCAGUUUCUUGAAGAUAACAAAGAAAAUCACUUGUAAUUGCAGGUUUUCUUGUUCUUGACUUCUUGUGGAUCUUCUGAUUUCAGGUUGAACUUGAAUAUUGUCAAUUUGUUGUGCAACUUGCUGAGCAUUAUCAAUUAAUUCAGUAGCUUGCUAACUCAGUUCAUGCUUGAUUUCAGUUACUUCUUGUUGCUCCAUCACUUAAUCAGUUUCAUUAGAAUGAUCAGACUCAAUGUGUUGAUCAUUGGCUUGAGAGUACACCAAAACUGGGCAAUGUUCACUUGAAGAUGCUUCAAUUGAUGGUUGUUCAAGUUCCUCAAAUAUAAAGUUCUCAAUGGUAAAAUCUGAGACAUCUUGAUCUUCAAACAACCUUGCAUUAUGGGUUUCCUUGAUUCUGGUGUGAGCCUAUGCACAAUAGAACUUAAACCCCUUUGAUUUUUCCAAGUAACCUAUGAAAUAACAAGACUUCGUCCUUGGAUCCAGUUUCUUUUCCUCCGGAUUAUAGAACCUAGCAUCUGCCUUACAAUCCACACAUUGAUUUUUCCAAGUAACCUAUGAAGUAACUGUUUCCACAAAUUGUUUUAGUUAGGAAAUGACCACAAACAUCAGUAUGAAUAAUCUCAAGUAAAUUUUUGCUUCUCUUGGCUUCAAAAUUUCGAAACUUAGUUAGCUUUCCUUUGUAACAAUCCACACAUUCAAUGGUAGUUUCAAAAUCAAGUGAAGGAAUCAAGUUUGCUUUUGAUAGUUUAGUGAUUCUUUCUUUUGAUAUAUGACAUAAUCUCUUGUGCCAAAGAAUGUAAGAAGUGUCAAUGUUUAACAUUCUCUUAAUGCUUAUAUUUAGUGCAUGAUGUUCAUUAAAGACCACACUACACUCCAACUGCCAUAAGUUUUCAACUAAGCUAGCAAUCCCUAAAUUGGAAUUAAGAUAGUUCUUUUGAAAAAGUUGUAAACAUUCAUCAUCACCUAGGAAGGAAAAACCAUUUUUCAUGAGUUUAGAGGCUGAGAUCAAAUUUCUUCUCAUCUUUGGCACAUAAAGCACAUCAUUCAAUUGCAAAAUAAAACCACAAUUUAGUUUUAACCUAAUUGUUCCAACAGCUUUAACUGUAACAUUUGUCCCUUCCCCCACAAAAAACAUUAAAACAGUUAAAACUAGCAUCCUUUUGUUUUUCAAAACCAUGCAGUGAGUUAGUUAUGUGAACUAUGGAGCCAGUAUCAAACCACUAUGAGUUAAAAGGAAUCUCAAUUAAGUUUGACUCUACACAUACAUUAACUAUUUAUUUCCCAUUAGCUUUCAGAUAGUCUUUAAACAGUUCACAAUCUUUUCUUAAAUAACCUCGAGUUUAGCAAAAAAAAAAAAAACACUUAAGCUUAGCUACAUUUUUAACUUUAGGUUUAAGAUUGUUAGACCCUUUGGAAGAUUCAAAUAUUUUAGCAGAAAUACCAGUCUUAUCAGAAUUCCUAAAAUUCUUGAAGUUCUUACCUGAAUUAUUUCCAGCAUUGUAUGAUUUCUUCCUUCUUCCUCCUUGCACAAAGUUCACAAUCUCCGCCUCUUUGCCUUUUUCUUGCCUUUGGCAAGUCUCUUCUUGAACACAUUGUGCAAUUAACUCAUCUACAUCCCAACUCUUGUCCUGUGUUUUAUAAGGCACCUUUAAUUGAGAGUACUUGAAUGGGAGAGUUUGAAGAAUCAUGAAAACAACUGCUUUUCUCCAAUGCUAACAUCCAUUGAAUUCAACUUCUUUGCAGCGUCAAUCAUUUUCAUAAUAUGGUCCCUGAUUGAACCAGAAUUAUCAAUUUUGUAAGUUGUUAGCAGUGACAUAUAUUGGUUGAUCUCUGCUUUCUGUGACUCUUUGAAUUUCUUCUCAAUAGCCUUCAAGUAAUUAGUUGCUAAAUCAUGUUUCUUAAUGCCUCCACAAACUGUAUCAGUCAUACCACUCUCCAUGAUAGAAAGUGCCACUUUGUCGGCUCUUGUCCACCUUUCAUGAUCAAUCUUCUUAGCUCUAGUACUCUGAUCUGUGAUCAUUGGUCUUGGAGUAUCAAUGGCAAUAUCAUACUCAUUGAUUGUCAAUAACAAUCCAAUUUCUCUCCUCCAUUUUUUGUAGUUACUCCCUCUAGUGAGAAUUGGGAUAUUUGCCAAGUUCAAAGUCUUCAAGGAUAUUGCAGACACUGCAGAUGAAAUCACAAUCAUGAACCAAUUAGGUUCCUACUUUCCUUUUGCAGUUCGCACAUCAAAACUUGCAUCAAUGAUUCAUACAUAUAGACUUAUCAACACAUAGUUGACAAUCAUACAUAGAAUGACUGAUUCAUCGAGAACUUAGAAGAUCACAAUAAGAUAUGCAACAAUAGACCGUUUUCAAAUGUCUCAUGCAUACUGCAUAUGAAAAUUUUGCAAGAUAUCGAGAUAAUAGUAAUCUUAAUUGUGAGUAGUUAGUCCUUUACAAAGAAACUUCAAUCAAUAAUACCACAUAAUAUUAAAUUUCCUUGAAAUAAUUAGGAUCUUGUUUUUUUUUUUUUUUUUUUUUUUUUUUUUUUUUUUUUUUUGUUAACUUACGAACCACUCAAUUUCAAGGCUGAAUUCAUAGCAUGUAGUCUAGGUUCUAAUACCACAUGUUAACAUAAACAUAUAAUAUGAAUCACAGAACUUCAAACACAAAACCACGUUCAUAAACCUUUGAACAUAAAACGAACACAUUACAUGCAGAUGAAUUCGAAGAGCCUGCCAUGACUUGUUUCUGCAGCAAACCAGAGGUGCACCUUCUUCUCUCUUCAGUAAUUAGUUUGCUCUUUACUAAUAAUAGGUCUUGUUUCAAAAGAAUAGAGCACGGUAACUAUGAGAGCAGAGGCCACUAUAUAUAUAUAUAUAUAUAUAUAUAUAUAUAUAUAUAUCAUAAUCCUAGCCAAGUCCUACAAGGAUUCCCCUAAGAAUCCAUAUAGACAACAAAUUCAAUACACAUAGUGUUUCAGCAUGACAUGGAUUACAAAUCCACUCCCAAUAAGGACUUCCUAUUUAAUCUUGAAUCAAAUAACUUAAUCCACAUAUUCAUACUCAUGCUCAUAUUCUAACAUUUCUAGGUCUAUAUAUAUAUAUAUAUAUAUAUAUUGUGCGGUUCUCAGUUAAAUAAUUGGGCACAAGAACGUCACUUUAUUUAGGUUUGCAGCAGUUGGUUCUUGCUUGUUACAUGACCUUACUUUGUAUCAAUCUGAUCAUCCCACUCCCCAAGUCCGAGAGUUUGCUUGGUGCCUAAGAUUGGAUUUGAUUUGGUAACACAGUAAAUUCAAGCAUGUUGAAGGACGGAAGAAACAAAGAAGUUCUGUCCGAGUUAAAAGGUAGAAGAUGAAGUGCAGAGUGAAGAAAACAUAUCAUUUUCAACCCCCUACAAAAUGGUAGGAUACCAACAUCUCUUAUAAUUUAUCCCUUCUAAUCCUGUCCCCAGAUGAAGAAUCAUUCACAACGACCUUCAUUUCUUACUUCACCAUAUUUUAAAAUAGCAAAUUAUCAAAUCUAAAUUCUACGCACCAAAUGAGAAGGUUUGACAAAUUCCCUUCAGGAGGAGGCACAUACACAAGUUUUUUUUGUCAAACCUCGUAAAUUCUUAGUGCACUCUCGUUUGUUUUGCUCAUUGUCGAGGAUCAUCAAAUUUUUUUGUCCCGUCGAAUUAUUCAUCGCUCAUUGUCGAGGAUCAUCAACUUUUUUUGUCCCGUCGAAUUAUUCAUCGCGCUGAGAGGAUCAAAUAAUCUCUAUGUAGACACUAACUUGGUUCAAAAAACAAAAUGUUUGAGUGCAUCCAGCAAUCUUCCCCAUUGUUGGGGUUUGUUUGGUUUGGAGGUCAAUAGUUAACACAAUCACUUCUGUAUGUAGGAUUCUCCAACAAGCAAAUCAAACAUAAUUGGGAAGUGACCAUAACCACAAAGCAAAGUUGGGAGGAUACUCCCCAAAUUUAACCUGUAUUUUCUAGUUAAAUCACAUCAAAUACGAAACAAUUUACAUUGUCCGGCUUCAAUUAAGUUCUUACAUCCGAAAGACCGCUGGCACCUGGGUGACAAGGUUUGAUACAUUUCCAAGUUCAAAAUAACAAAACGAUUAACUCCUCUAGCUGGCGUUUCAUGCAAAACUUAUAACUCAGGCUGUUGCGGAAUUGUAGCAUCAGUCCCAGCCAUACUUCCAGAUGUUCAAAGGGCAUGAAAAUGGUAAUUCGUACACCAAAAUCAUGAGAGGUAAAUAAGACUAUAAUACCAGAGUGAUGACAUCAUUCCAUUCUGUAGUUUCGGAAUGAAUCCCAUGCGAUUCAUAAGCGGAUUGUGGGCAAGAUUCUUCUGCAGGUGUAGGAUCAGGAUGAUUAUACAAGCACCUGUUUUCAUACUGGCAAGUGCCAGUUCGCAUAUAGUGCAAACAAUCUUUCUUCCCCUGUAAUACGUUAAAAUAAUUAUUCAGCGAACGUAUGGACACUUGAUGGUAGCUCCAACAGACUAAGAAAAUAGCAAAGACAAAAUCUCAAAUCUUAAGCACCAUGAAUAGAUAGAUAUUCAUUCCUCAUAUUUUUGCAGAUCAAACCAAGAGUUUAUACCGGACGAAUUGGCAGGCCCAAAAAGUUAAGUUUCAGAGCUGGAGCUACAGAGGGUUCCCUUUUACAUCGUCCUGGGCAAUACUGCAACAAGCUCAAGUGUUAUAUUAACAUCAGGAAACUGUUACUAUGCCGCCAUGCACAUUGCACAGAUUUGAAAAUUAAUUGUAAUCCUGUGUAAAAAGGAAUAUGUGAUUGUAAUGUAACACCAUACAAAUGUCAUGAAAACACUUCGACUAUAAGUUGAUCACGUUCAAGACCCUCAUCGUUCUAUUGUUAGCUACAAGAUAAAAGGUUUAAGAUAACCAUGUCGCCUAUGAGUUGAUCAUGUUCAGUUGUGCAUGCUAACCUACUAGCUUUCAGAUAACCAUAUGAGAAGCCCCAUCGUCACUCAAAACAGAAAGAGUUAAGAUAUUAUGUGAAACCAAAUAUGCAAAGUAAAAGAAAACAUCAGGAUGUAAAGCAUGAAAACCAAGCAAUUGAAGUAAAAACCAGAACUUCGGAUAGACAAUAAUCUUGCUUCCGGUCUGGUCUUGCUUCUGUGUCAACUUUUCACUCUACUUUGCAAUGUCCUUAAACACCUUCUAAACAAUAUGAUAAAGUUGAAAACACCAAGAAACACAAAGUGAGCACCAACAACACAAAUAUUUCAUCCAGUCAUACAAGGCCAGAUGGAUUACUGUUUCAAACAUUAAAUGCAGGUCCAAAGUAGCGAUUUUUCAGUUAAUCCGAGGUACCAAAUUUCACCACAAAGAUGCAUGUGAAAGAAAAACAUCAUCUCUAACAAAUAUGACAAGUGCUUCAUUUCGAGUCAAUUCCACUGACAAAGAUCAUCAUCACGGCAUAAUAAACUAGCCGAUUAACACAUUCUUUACACUAUAACACAUGCAUACAGGCAUUUUUCAGCUAAAGCAUGAAACAAAGAGAGCUAAACAUGAAAAGUCUAAAUCUUUCAACCAUAAACAUAGAUAUGCAAAUGCUAAAUACAAAAAGUUAAUAUACUACUUGAAACCAAAUAUGCAAAGUAAAACAAACUUAAUGAUGUAAACAUGAAAACCAAGCAAUUGCAGUAAAAAGUUCAAAACAAGAACUUCGGAUAGAUAAUAACCUUGUUUCUGGUCUGGUCUUGCUUCUCUGCCAACUCUCCCCUCUGCUUUGCCUUGUCCUUAAACACCUUCUAAACAAUAUGAUAAAGUUGAAAACAACAAGAAACACAAAGUGAGCAUCAACAACACAAAUAUUUCCUGCAAUCAUACAAGGCCAGAUGCAUUAAUUUCGCAAAUGCUAAAUGCAGGCCCAAAGUCCCCAUUUUUUUUUGUUAAUCCAAAGUCCCGAAUUUUCAAGUACAAAUUUCACCACAAAGAUGCACAUGAAAUUUUGAAUGAAAACAUCAUCUCUAACAAAUAUGACAUGUGCCUCCAUUUCGAGUCAAUUCUGCUGACAAAGAUCAUGAUUGCAGCUUAAUAUACUAACCGGUUAUAACAUUCUUUACACCAUAACACAUGCAUACAUGUAUUUCUCAGUUGAAACAAUGAGAGCUGAAGUCGGGAAAACAAGAAAAGUCUCAAUCUUUCAACAAUAAACAUACAUAAUGCUAAAUACAAAAAGUUAAGAUACUAUUUGAAAUCAUCUAUGCAAAGUAAAAAAACUUAAUGAUUUAAAACAUGAUGGAAAAGCAGUUAAAGCAUUGCAUUGAAAACCAGAACUAUGGAUAGAUAAUAACCUUGCUUUCGGUCUGGUCUUGCUUCACUGCCAACUCUUCCCUCUGCUUUGCCUUGUCCUUAGACACCUUCUAAUAAAUUUGAUAAAGUUCAAAACACCAAGAAACACAAAGUGAGCAUCAACAACACAAAUAUUUCCUGCAAUCAUACAAGGCCGGAUGCAUUAAUGUCUCAAACACUAAAUGCAAGCUCAAAGUCUCAAUUUUUUUUGUUAAUAAAAAAUCCCAAUUUUUUCACGUACAAACUUCACCACGAAGAUGCAUGUGAAAGAGAAAUAUCAUCUCCAAAAAAUAUGAUAUGCACCUCCUUUUGAGUCAAUUCUGCUGGAAAAAUCAUCAUCGUGGCAUAAUAAACGAACCGAUUAACACAUGCAUACAUGCAUUUCUUAGCUGAACCAAUCAGAGCUGAGGCUGGGUAAACACGAAUAGUCUCAAUCUUUCAACCAUAAACAUACAUAUGCAAAUGCUAAAUACAAAAUGUUAAGAUAGUACAUGACACCAAAUAUGCAAAGUAAAACAAUCUUAAUGAUGUAAAGCAGGAAAACCAAGUAGUUGCAGCAAAAAGUUAAAAACCAGAACUUCGGAUUGAUAUUAACCUUGCUUUCGGUCUGGACUUGGUUCUCUACCAACUCUUCGCGCUGCUUUGCCUUGUCCUUAGACACCUUCUUCUAAUAAAUAUGAUAAAGUUGAAAACACCAAGAAACACAAAGUGAGCACACCAAAAAAAAAAAAAAAAAACAAAUAUUUCCUGCGAUCAUACAAGGUCAUAUGCAUUAAUGUCUCAAACGCUAAAUGCAUGCCCAAAGUCCCCAUUUUUUUUGUUAAUUCAAAGUCCCAAUUUUUCACGUACAAAUUUCAGAACAAUUAUGAACAAAUAUGUACGUGAAAGAAAACAUCACCUCUAACAAAUAUGAUAUGUGCCUACAUUUCAAGUCAAUUCUGCUAACAAAGAUCAUCAUCGCGGCACAAUAAACUCGCUGAUUAUAACACAUGCAUACAUGCAUUUCUCAGCUGAAACAAUGAAAGCUGAGGCCGGGAAAACACGGAAAAUCUCAAUCUUUCAACCAUAAACAUACAUAUGCAAAUGCUAAAUGCAAAAAGUUAAGAUACUACUUGAAACCAAAUAUGCAAAGUAAAAACAAACAUAAUGAUGUAAAACAUGAAAACCAAGCAAUUUGUUGUAAAAUCAUAAUCUCGGAUAGAUAAUAACCUUGUUUUCGGUCUGGUCUUGCUUUUCUGCCAACUCUUCCCUCCGCUUUGCCUUGUCCUCAGACACCUCACCAACAAAUAUUUCCUGCUAUCAUACAAGGCCAGAUGCAUUAAUGUCUCAAACACUAAAUGCAGGCCCAAAGUCCCAAUUCUUUUUGUUAAUCCAAAGUCCUGAUGUUUCACGGACAAAUUUCAACACAAAGAUUCAUGUGAAAGAAAAACUUCAACUCUAACAAUUCUGAUAAAUGCCUCCAUUUCGAGUCAAUGGCAGCAUAAUAAACUAACCAAUUAACAUAUACUUUACACUACAACAUAUGCAUGCAUGCAUGCAUUUCUCAGCUGAAACAAUGAGAUCUGAGGCCUAGAAAACAUGAAAUGUCUGUCUUUCAACCAUGAACACACAUGCAAAUGCUAUAUACAAAAAGUUAAGAUACUACUUGAAACCAAAUAUGCAAAGCAAAACAAACUUAAUGAUGUAAAACAUGAAAACCAAGCACUUGCUGUAAAAACCAGAACUUCGGAAUUUGGAUAGAUAAUAACCCUGCUUUUGGUCUGGUCUUGCUUCUCUGCCAACUCUUCCUCCUGCAUUGCCUUGUCCUUGGACACCAUCAUCUAAUAAAUAUGACAUAGUUCAAAACACAAAGAAACACAAAGUGAGCACCAACAACACAAAUACUUAAUGCAAUCAUACAAGGCCAUUAACGUCUCAAACACGGGGUGUAUUCAAUUGAGAAUGUGAGAGAUUUUAAUGGAUUUAUAAAUCCAUGGAUUUUUAUGGAGUUUAAUUGAUUUGUAGAGAUUCCAUAUAAAAUUUUGAUUGAAUUCCCUCGAAAUCUCAUGGAAAGAGGUGAGAUUUGUGGAUACUUAAAAUACACUACGAAAUCUCUCAAAUUCCCUCAAAUUCCUCAACUUGCUCAAAUUCUUUAAAAUCAAUUUCUAAUUGAAUACACCUGGAAUGUUAUAAACUUCUUUAAAAUCUUAAUUGAAUACACCUGGAUUUCUAAGGAUUUUAAUAAACUAUUUUAAAAUUCUAAUUGAAUACACCUGGAUUUCUAAGGAUUUUAAUAAACUAUUUUAAAAUUCUAAUUGAAUACACCUAGAAUUUCAGAGAAUCACUUAAAAUCCUGAUUGAAUACCCCUAAAUUCAUUAAAAGAAUUAAAAUCCCUUAAAAUCUCAAUUGAAUACAACCCAAUUUUUCACGUACAAAUUUCACUACAAAGAUGGAUGUGAAAGAAAAUCUUCAUCUUUAACAAAUAUGAUAUGUGUCUUUAUUUCGAGUCAAUCCCGCUGACAAACAUCAUCGUCACGGCAUAAUAAACUAACCGAUUAACACAUUCUUUAUACUAUAACACAUGCAUAUAUGCAUUUCUCAGCUGAAACAAUGAGAGGUGAGGCCGGAAAACACGAAAAGCCUCAAUCUUUCAACCGUAAACAUACAUAUGCAAUUGCUAAAUGCGAAAGACGAGUGACAUACCUGCUUGUUUUCCCUUCUCCGAGGGUGAUUCCUUGUGCUACUCUCCUCAACAACCUCCUUCACCACCUCACCACCGUUCUCAUUCCCUCCUCCUCCGCUGCCGCUUUCGCUCUCUCUCUCCUUCUCAGUUUCCUCUUGAGUCUCUCUCUCCUUCCCUUUUUCUUUUUCCUUCUUUUCCUUCAAACUCAAUUCCUGAAUCUUCCGAAUCUCAUCGAGGAAAGCAGGGUCGAGAUUCCUAAUCCAUUCGAUCACGGCGGGGUCGAGUGUCCGAAUCAAUUCAAGGAUUUCAGGAUCGAGAUCGGACGGCGCAUGAGACGGAAUAGACGGUGGAUGACCACUUUGAUCAUCGAUGGGAUUUAGGCGAAAGGCGACGCCUUGAGGGAGUUCCGAUUGCCGUCCGGAUCGAAAGUACCUAUAAAUUUCGACCAACACUGUAAAUGACACCGGUAGCAGAACACGCGCCGUUGGCAACAUUGGUAGUUUUUGCGCUGGCGGGGACGGCGGAGGCGGCGGCUGAAACUGGGUUGCUGGGUUUGCUGUGAACUUGCAACUAGCAGCUACAUUAUCAUUACGGAUUAAAUAGAGUUUUAGUUGGUUGAUUAAUUGUAGAAACUGGGUUUUGACUGGUUAAAUCAAAGGCGUCGGCUUUUUCUAGCAGAGGCAUGUUUGGAUUGCUUUUCAAUUCCAAAGAUACUUUGGAAAAGCGGACACUCGUGUACUUAGAUGCACUAGCUACAGUGCCUUUACGUGAACACCUAUUACUUCGAUACGAAGGAAUCAUAAACCAUAAAAGCUUUGAGCUACUUUACAACUCUCAAGAUGUUUCAAAAUCUCUGCUGAAUCAUAAACCGAUAAGCUUUAAGCUAAUUGAAUCAUAAAUCAAUAAGCUUUGAGUUAUUUUAUAACUCUCAAAAUGUUUCAAAAUCUCAACUGAAUAUACCGCAUACUCUGUCAUUUUGAUUAUCCUAAGUUUUAAUUUUGGGGCAAAGGUUGACUUAUAUGACCUCAGUUGACGCAUGCGUUGAGUUAUAUGACCUGAGUUCACUGUCAACUUCACAGGUCCCCUCCGGUACCUACAAACAUGUUAUUUUGUAAUAUGGGUUCGUCUUUUUCAUUGGUGUUUUAUGUGCGAGUUUAAUCAAUGUUAGUGUUUUAUGUGUGAGUUUAAUCAAUGUUACAUGCAACAGACAACGCAAACGCCGCAACAAGUUCGAUACACAACAAAAGAUGCCAGCAGAAAUUUAUGGGGUGAGAUCAACAAGCCAUUUGAAGAUGCUCGGGGAAUAGGCAACGACGACGAAAUUGAAAGAAUAUUACCCGACUAAACUUGUAUUUUCCGGUAAAGUGACAUGGAUAAGAAAUCAUUUACACGUUUCAUUCACAAUUAAAAAGUUUGUGUCAUCCGUGUGAAAAGGUUUGAUACAUUUCUAAGAUUAAAUUUACCGAAAGAGAGAUUACACAUGUCCUCGGUGAUGCGAAUCCUGUGCUCUAUGCAAGCAUUCAUGCAUAACUUAUUGCACGGGCUGCGGUUGACUUGUACCAUCAGUUCCACUUCUGCUCCCAGCUAUUCCCGCCCCAUUAGUAGUCGCCCAGUACCACAUAUAUGACAAGCAAAGUGCGACUCCAUUUGCAAAAUUGCUCCACAGAACCAUUUACUUUCCAAAGAAUCUUUGGUAUAGGCAUCGAAUAGCCAGAAAAUUACAUAGAAUCACAAAAAAAAUCAAAGCCACUCCAGAGAGGAAUGAAAGAUAUGGUGUCUCUACAAUAAAAGGAACAAGUUCGGAUAGUGUUCCCAGAUGGGUGAAGAACAAAGCCGAGUCUUCUCUUUAUAUUAUGGAAGACGAACUAAUCGGGAUUGAAGACAAGAAGCAAACGUUAAUGGCAUGCGAUCUGUAAUGUGUGCAAAUGUUCUGAUCCUGGAUUUUGAACAAAUUUUGUGCGAUCAUGUAAUAUGGAAUCAAACUGAGGCUCUCAUCAUAGACAGGAGAGGAGACAACAAUUAGUCAAUAAUCUUUAUGAUUCAGGAACAAAGCGAAAAAACCCUUCCUAAGGUCAUAUUCCGAAAUCAGGAACUCAUUACCAAAGUCAAAAGAAGAGCUUACUGGUCUCAACGGCAGGCCUUUGUCACCGAGUGUGAAUGGGGGGCUACGGCAGUCUGAGUUUUUGGAUGGUGAUAUUUGCAAUUAGAUUUAAACUUGCAAUCUCCCGUUCUUGAGAAAUAACUGCAAUCAGGUUGGCCAGGUCUUUCUGGGAACUCUUCAACUUGAUUCUGGUGUGGAUAUUGUUUGUAGACGUUGGUCUCAGUCACUGAGUUGUUCAUCAUAUAUGGUGGACGUGCAGGCAUGCUUCCUUCUGGUAUAUAUGCUGGAGCCUAAAGGUGCAAACAGAAAAACAAUUGGCAUUAAUAUUAGGGAUAUCGAUAUGUUUCAACCCCCAAUAAAUGGUAGGAUACCAACAUCUCUUAUAACUUAUCCCUUCUAAUCCCGUCCCCACAUGAAGAAUCAUUCACAACGACCUUCAUUUCUUACUUCACCGUAUCUUAAAAUAGCAAAUUAUCAAAUCUAAUUCUACGCACCAAAUGAGAAGGUUUGACAAAUUCACUUCAGGAGGAGGCACAUACACCAAGUUUUUUUUGUCAAACCUCGUAAAUUCUUGAUGCACUCUUGUUUGUUUUGCUCAUUGUCGUCGAGGAUCAUCAAUUUUUUUUUUGUCCCGUCGAAUUAUUCAUCGCGAGGAGAGGAUCAAAUAAUAUCUAUGUAGACACUAACUUGGUUCAAAAAACAAAAUGUUUGAGUUCAUCCAGCAAUUCUUCCCCAUUGUUGGGGUUUGUUUGGUUUGGAGGUCAAUAGUUAACACAAUCACUUCUGUAGGUAGGAUUAUCCAACAAGCAAAUCCAAGAUAAUUGGGAAGUGACCAUAACCACAAAGCAAAGUUGAGAGGACACUCCCCAAAUUUAACCUGUAUUUUCUAGUAAAAUCGCUUCAAAUACGAAAUGAUUUACAUUUUCCGGCUUCAAUUAAGUUCUUACAUCCGAAAGACCGCUGGCAGCUGGGUGACAAGGUUUGAUACAUUUCCAAGUUCAAAAUAACAAAUCGAUUAACUCCUCUAGCUGGCGUUUCAUGCAAUACUUAUAACUCAGGCUGUUGCGGAAUUGUAGCAUCACUCCCAGCCAUACUUCCAGAUGUUCAAAGGGCAUGAGAAGGAAAAGAAAGAAGUCAAAACACGAAAAGAUCCGACUAUUAUCCCUAAAAAAAUGGUAACUCGUACAUCAAAAUCAUGAAAGGUAAAUAAACACAAGACUAUAAUACCUGAGUGAUGACACCCUUCCAUUCUGCAGUUUCAGCAUACUUCCAGAUGUUCAAAGGGCAUGAGAAGGAAAAGAAAGAAAUCAAAACACGAAAAGAUCCGACUAUUAUCCCUAAAAAAAUGGUAAUUCGUACAUCAAAAUCAUGAGAGGUAAAUAGACACAAGAGUAUAAUACCGGAGUGAUGACAUCAUUCCAUUCUGCAGUUUCGGAAUGAAUCCCAUGAGAUUCAUAAGUGGAUUGUGGGCGAGAUUCUUCUAAAGGUGUAGGAUCAGGGUGAUUAAACAAGCAGUUGUUUUCAUACUUGCAAGUGCCAGUUUGCAUAUAGUGCAAACAAUCUGCCUUCCCCUGUAAUACGUUAAAAUAAUAAUUCAGCGAAUACAUGGACACUUGAUAGUAGCUCCAACAGACUAAGAAAAUAGCAAAGACAAAAUCUCAAAUCUUAAGCACCAUGAAUAGAUAGAUAUUCAUUCCUCAUAUUUUUGCAGAUCAAACUG